UUCGAUUCUGGCUCAGAACGAACGCUGGCGGCAGGCCUAACACAUGCAAGUCGAACGCUGUAGCAAUACAGAGUGGCAGACGGUGAGUAACGCGUGGGAACGUGCCCUUCGGUUCGGAAUAACUCAGGGAAACUUGAGCUAAUACCGGAUACGCCCUUUGGGGGAAAGAUUUAUUGCCGAAGGAUCGGCCCGCGUCCGAUUAGCUAGUUGGUGAGGUAACGGCUCACCAAGGCGACGAUCGGUAGCUGGUCUGAGAGGAUGAUCAGCCACACUGGGACUGAGACACGGCCCAGACUCCUACGGGAGGCAGCAGUGGGGAAUAUUGGACAAUGGGCGCAAGCCUGAUCCAGCCCAUGCCGCGUGAGUGAUGAAGGCCCUAGGGUUGUAAAGCUCUUUCGCCAGGGACGAUAAUGACGGUACCUGGAUAAGAAGCCCCGGCUAACUUCGUGCCAGCAGCAGC
rnacentral:rRNA from 1 species